CAGUAGCCACGGUAAUACGAGGGGGGCAAGCGUUGUUCGGAUUUAUUGGGCGUAAAGGGUGCGUAGGCGGUUUGGCAAGUCUUGUGUGAAAUCUUCGGGCUCAACCCGAAGCCUGCACGAGAAACUACCGGGCUUGAGUAUUGGAGAGGUGAGUGGAAUUUCCGGUGUAGCGGUGAAAUGCGUAGAUAUCGGAAGGAACACCUGUGGCGAAAGCGGCUCACUGGACAAUAACUGACGCUGAUGCACGAAAGCUAGGGGAGCAAACAGGAUUAGAUACCCCCGUAGUCCCUGUCUCUUAUAA
rnacentral:rRNA from 1 species